rnacentral:rRNA from 1 species
UAGGGAAUUUUGCGCAAUGGGCGAAAGCCUGACGCAGCAACACCGCGUGAACGAUGAAGCCCCUUGGGGUGUAAAGUUCUGUCAGUGGGGAAGAAUAAAUGACUGUACCCACAAAGGAAGCAUCGGCUAACUACGUGCCAGCAGCCGCGGUAAGACGUAGGAUGCAAGCGUUGUCCGGAAUUAUUGGGCGUAAAGAGUUCGUAGGCGGCAUAUCAAGUCUGGUGUUAAAGACUGGGGCUCAACCCCAGAAGGGCACUGGAUACUGAUAAGCUAGAGUACAGAAGAGGCAAGGGGAAUUCCCAGUGUAGCGGUGAAAUGCGUAGAUAUUGGGAGGAACACCAGUGGCGUAAGCGCCUUGCUGGGCUGUUACUGACGCUGAGGAACGAAAGCCAGGGGAGCAAAUGGG